rnacentral:rRNA from 1 species
CAGUAGCCGCGGUAAUACGUAGGGUGCGAGCGUUAAUCGGAAUUACUGGGCGUAAAGCGUGCGCAGGCGGUUGUGUAAGACAGGUGUGAAAUCCCCGGGCUUAACCUGGGAACUGCGCUUGUGACUGCACAGCUAGAGUAUGGCAGAGGGGGGUGGAAUUCCACGUGUAGCAGUGAAAUGCGUAGAGAUGUGGAGGAACACCGAUGGCGAAGGCAGCCCCCUGGGCCAAUACUGACGCUCAUGCACGAAAGCUAGGGGAGCAAAUGGGAUUAGAUACCCCUGUAGUCCCUGUCUCUUAUAC